AUGCAUUUGCACAAUGCCAAAGAAAGAAUCAAGGUGUGACUUUCUCCCACCACUCAUCUAAGGGUCUGGGGAUCCUUUCUACAGAAUGCCUACUACAACUGCAAUGAGAAGAUGCUUUCCUCUCUCUAUUUUGUUGGCAAAAAUGAGGUGCUGAGAAGUGAAGUCCCUUGCUCAAGGUCUCUCAGUUACAAGAUGGUCAGGACUCAAAGGAACCACAGAGCCUGUGCCCUGUGCUGCCAUCACAACACUAAACAGGAAGACCUGGAUUCAAACCCCAGCACCUCAACAUAUGAGUGUUGUGAGUUUGGGAGACUUACUUCUGAACCUCAGUUUCCUUGUCUGUCCAGUGGGGAUAAUGAAAUCUACCUCGUGUCUGCAAUAUCCAAAUGACAUCAACACUGAGCACCUUGAGGAUUCUAAUGAAUGUUAAUUCCCCUUCCAUUUCAAUUUGCCACAUCACCUUCUAAUUGAAAAAUAUCCUUGAGAAAACAAAAGUCUUUGUGUCCCCAGUGAAGAGGGUGGGGAAGAGGG
rnacentral:lncRNA from 10 species